CAAAAAGACGAAGGCCUAAAAUUUCCUUAAAAUUACUUAUAAACAAAAAUUGCAACCACUGGAGAGGGCUACACAGGAUUUCCCCAAUCUGCGCAAAGUGUAAAAUCGAGGAAAAUAAAAGGGAGUGGCGAAAGGGAUGAAAACUUGGCCUGGACAAAAGAUUGGCUGAAUAACAGGAAACAGUGUAUCAUUUUCUGGUUAGCAAGAUCUGACAAUUGAUAUGCCACAGGGAUCAGGGCUGAGAUCUCUACUUUCUGCAAACAAUAUGAAUGAAUUGGCCGAAGGGGCCGAAGCUUCCUAUAUUACCAAGUGUGCCAACAAAGCUAGAUGUUGAGAAAUCUCAAUGUGGAAAUCAGAGUUGGUACCUGGACAAUUCAGUUUGCAGCUUACUUCGAAGAACCUCCAGGCUGGACAUCAGGUACUAGCAUGGGCACCAGCUAUGUACAAACAACAUCCGUGGAGAUCAGCAUCUGGAGAGUUUGUACACCUGCCUAGCAUGCUGGCCGCGAGACCCACCACCAUCCUGCCUGCUCAGGGAAAGCUCCAUCUACAGUGUUAAAUUUCCCUGUCACACCAAGAAACUGGAGGCAGAGUGAAAAAUUGAAUUUGGU